rnacentral:tRNA from 1 species
CCUGACCCAGGGAUCGAACCUGGGUCUCCUGCAUUGCAGGCAUGUUCUUUACCAUCUGAGCCAGCAG